rnacentral:rRNA from 1 species
AGUGAACGCUGGCGGUAGGCCUAACACAUGCAAGUCGAACGGCAGCACAGUAAGAGCUUGCUCUUACGGGUGGCGAGUGGCGGACGGGUGAGGAAUACAUCGGAAUCUACUUUUUCGUGGGGGAUAACGUAGGGAAACUUACGCUAAUACCGCAUACGACCCACGGGUGAAAGCAGGGGAUCUUCGGACCUUGCGCGAUUGAAUGAGCCGAUGUCGGAUUAGCUAGUUGGCGGGGUAAAGGCCCACCAAGGCGACGAUCCGUAGCUGGUCUGAGAGGAUGAUCAGCCACACUGGAACUGAGACACGGUCCAGACUCCUACGGGAGGCAGCAGUGGGGAAUAUUGGACAAUGGGCGCAAGCCUGAUCCAGCCAUACCGCGUGGGUGAAGAAGGCCUUCGGGUCGUAAAGCCCUUUUGUUGGGAAAGAAAAGCAGCAGGUUAAUACCCCGCUGUUCUGACGGUACCCAAAGAAUAAGCACCGGCUAACUUCGUG